UUAAACACUAUUACAAAUCUAAAAAUAAAGAUUAACUAUGGCCAGUGUGAAAGUUUUUUCUUUUGCUUUGCUUCUUGUCCUCCUUUUCUCCGUUGAUGUUGAAGGAUAUGUGUUAGAAAGUACAUCCUUGUGUUGCAAUACCCACCCAGAAUUUGGGAGGUGCAUCCCAAACCUUGACACAAGGAGAUGCAACAGCUGGUGUCUUAAAGGAUGCGACAACAAAAAAGGUGGUUUCUGCAAACGUGUUGGCGGAGGACAAUGCCAUUGUUAUUGUUAAGAAUCACAAAACCAUGUAAAACUUGCAUGAACAUUUAAUUAUUUCGUUUAUGUUGCAGUAUUACCUAGCUACUUUUGUAUGAUUUAUGAACUUAUGAUAUUUGUACGAAAGAGAUAAAAAGAUCUUCAAC